GUGCCAGCAGCCGCGGUAAUACGGAGGGUGCGAGCGUUAAUCGGAAUUACUGGGCGUAAAGCGCAUGCAGGCGGCGUGUUAAGCCAGAUGUGAAAGCCCGGGGCUCAACCUCGGAAUCGCAUUUGGAACUGGCAUGCUAGAGUCUUGUAGAGGGGGGUAGAAUUUCAGGUGUAGCGGUGAAAUGCGUAGAGAUCUGAAGGAAUAUCGGUGGCGAAGGCGGCCCCCUGGACAAAGACUGACGCUCAGAUGCGAAAGCGUGGGGAGCAAACAGGAUUAGAUACCCUGGUAGUCCACGCCGUAAACGAUGUCUACUUGGAGGUUGGUGUCUUGAACACUGGCUUUCGGAGCUAACGCGUUAAGUAGACCGCCUGGGGAGUACGGUCGCAAGAUUAAAACUCAAAUGAAUUGACGGGGGCCCGCACAAGCGGUGGAGCAUGUGGUUUAAUUCGAUGCAACGCGAAGAACCUUACCUACUCUUGACAUCCAGAGAACUUUCCAGAGAUGGAUUGGUGCCUUCGGGAACUCUGAGACAGGUGCUGCAUGGCUGUCGUCAGCUCGUGUUGUGAAAUGUUGGGUUAAGUCCCCGCAAACGAGCGCCACCCUUUAUCCUU
rnacentral:rRNA from 1 species